UGGACCAUCAUGCAAAGCUCCGAACCUGUAUAAACCAUAAGUCCAUAAAUAAAGGGAAAGAGGUUUGUUGAAGGAAUAGGAAAAAAAUUACGACAGAGUAAACUCGAUCUUCUAGAUCGUCGUUCUUCGAGCGUUUCAACCGAAGAACUUUCAUGACCCUUUUCUUCGUGCUUCUUGAACGGAUAUUUCCGAUUGUCUGACUUAGUCGAUGAUAAACACAUAAUUUUCAGACACGAAUUUGUAGAAAUUAGCGAUCUAAUUUACAGGGACGAAGAUCGAUUGAAGGGGAACGCAGGAUGUUGAUGAUGACGUUUUGGGGUUAGCCAAAAUUAAUUUGUGUAAUUUAACACAAAUCUAUGGAAGAUAAUUGAAGAAAUUGACGAUUUUGGGAGCCCUUUUUUUAUGUCAUUGGUGAUAUUGAUUACGGUUGAAGCGGAGGCACGUUUAAAAAUUGUGAAUGUGAAUUACAUAUGUUUGAUAAAGGCAGGUUGGUUGGGUAUAUAAUUAUGUUGUUUUUUAAGUUUACUGAGGAGAAACGUCUAUCCAUUGGAGAAGAGAUGUACCAGUUCAGGAGAAAGGUGUAUCCAUUCGAGGAAAAGAUGUACCGGUUUGGAUGAGGUGCAUGUAAUGGAUAUUAGAAUUCUAGAGAUUUUUUUUAAAACGUCGGUUGAAUGUAGGAGGUGCCCGUAUUUAAUAUAAAUAUAAAUUGAAAGGGUGUGAGUAAAAUAAA